UACGGAGGAUCCAAGCGUUAUCCGGAUUUAUUGGGCUUAAAGGGUGCGUAGGCGGGUUAUUAAGUCAGUGGUGAAAGCCUGCAGCUUAACUGCAGAAUUGCCAUUGAUACUGAUGAUCUUGAGUACAGUUGAGGUGGGCGGAAUGUGUCAUGUAGCGGUGAAAUGCUUAGAUAUGACACAGAACACCGAUUGCGAAGGCAGCUCGCUAAGCUGUAACUGACGCUGAGGCACGAAAGCGUGGGGAUCAAACAGG
rnacentral:rRNA from 1 species